AACAAGGAUGGCAUUGAAAUGAAUUGUGUGUUCUGUUAGAUACACACAAAGAAAUUUUAAGUUUUGAAUUUAAAUGUCUUAUGUUGGUUAAUCACGAUUUAGCAGCCAACAUAAUCAAAGGUGACCAUGUGAAUGGCUGUAUGUGGAAUUACGUGAGCUGGUUGAUUAUUGCAAUAAUUGUAAGCUGCUAAAUUUUGUACUGUGGAAGAUAGAUAUU